CCCAGGUCAGGCGGGAU
rnacentral:rRNA from 1 species